UACGGGGGGGGCAAGCGUUGUUCGGAAUUACUGGGCGUAAAGGGCUCGUAGGCGGCCAACUAAGUCCGACGUGAAAUCCCCAGGCUUAACCUGGGAACUGCGUCGGAUACUGGAUGGCUUGAAUCCGGGAGAGGGAUGCGGAAUUCCAGGUGUAGCGGUGAAAUGCGCAGAUAUCAGGAGGAACACCGGUGGCGAAGGCGGGACUCUGGGCCGAUACUGACGCUGAGGAGCGAAAGCGUGGGGAGCGAACAGG
rnacentral:rRNA from 1 species